CUUAGGACAACCAAUCACAAACAACCAACUAGUCUUUAAGCUAUAGCCAAUCAAACAACUUCCUUUCUUUGCUUCCACGCUUUCUCUACGUGUCUUUCCCCUAGCUUCUAUCAGUGGAGGUCUCUUAGUCACUUUCUGAUUUGGCACUGCCCUCUUUGAAUUCAUUUUUGCUCAAAAAACUCUUACAUUUUUUAAUAUGCCUCAGUUUAUCUUUUUAACACUGGUAACAACGCAAGGUUGUAUAGCCACUUUGAAAGGUAGUUUGGCGAUUUCCUACAAAACUAAAAACAUACUUUUACUGUAUGAUCCAGCAAUCAUGCUCCUUGGUAUUUACCCAAAGGAGCUGAGAACUUAUGUCCAGACAAAAACCUGCACAUAGAGGUUUAUAGCAGCUUUAUUCAUAAUUGCCAAAAUUUGGAAGCAAUCAAGAUGUCAUUCAGUAGUUGAAUGGAUAAAUAAACUGUGGUACAUCCAAACAAUGGAAUAUCAGUUGACACUACAAAGACAUGAGCUAUUAAACCAUGAAAAAACAUGGAGGAAACUUGAAUGCAUAUUGCUGACUGAAAGAAUCCAAUCUGAAGAGGCUACAAACUAUAUGAUUCCAAAUAUAUGACACCUGUAAAAAGCAAAACUAUUAAGACAGUAAAAAAAUCAGUGGUUGCGGUGGGGGGGGGGGGUAGAGGGGGGAGAAGGAUGAAUAGGUGAAGCACAGAGGAUUUCUAAGGCAGUGAAACUACUCCACAUGACACUAUAAUGAUAAAUACAUUUGUCCAAACCUGUAGAAUGUAGUGAAAAGUGAACCCUGAUGUAAACAAUGGACUCUGAGUGAUAACAAUGUGUCAACGUAGAUUCAUCACUUGUAACAAAUGUGCCACUCUGGUGGGGGAUGUUGAUGAGGGAGGCUACCCAUGUGUGGAGGCAGGGGGUACAUGGGAAAUCUCUGUACCUUUCUCUCUAUUUUACUGUGAAUCUAAAACUGCUCUUAAAAAUAUCAUUAGGAGACUUCUUACUUGGGGCUAUGUUACCUUUUGGAGAAAGAAAAACAAGGUGGAAGACAGAAUGAAGGUUAGAAUUAAUACCGGCAGGCAGAAUUUCUAUAGGGUAUCUAGUCUAUUCUCCUUAUUUCUGUCUUAAGCCUUAAUUUUAUCUAAAGUUUAAGCAGCCAGUCCUACCUUCUCCACUUCCUCCUCUCUCUGCCUCCUUGUUUUGUUUUUAUUUUUUUCACAAGUAUUUAUUGAACGUUCAUUUUGUGGCAGGCACUGCUCAAGACAUUGGCUUUUGUGCCAAAAUACAAAGUUUGAACUUGAUCCUCUUGAUGUGGAGUUUCCAAAGUCAAAUCUUGUACUGUGCAUAAGAUCCAUAAGGAAACUUUAUUGAAAAUGCAGCUUCUUAGUCUUAAUCUUAGAGAUCAUGUUCAGGGGCUUGACAUAGGCCUGAUAAUCUGCCAUUUUAGCUAGCAUCUCAAGUGAUUCAAAAGAACAGCAUUGUUCGGAUUUACAUUUUAAAAUAAGUCUAUUGGCUUCCGUGUAUCUAGUAAUUUGGUUUGUGGGCAACCCAACUCUGCAAAUUUUGACCUCUUUAAGACUCUGGAAUCAGGCUCUCUAUUGUAAUCUAGACUCUGCCAUUUAGGAGCUAUUGACCAAAUGAACCUGUUUCCACGGUAUGUGGGAAUCAGAACACUUAGCUCAGAGAGUUACUGUGCAAGUGUCACAAGUAGAGCAUGUGUGGUAUCCGGCAACACUGUAGCAAGUGCUCAAAAACCAGACAUUAUUGUUCUUAUUAUUGGUGUUGUUGUUCUUGCCGUUAUUAUUGGUGGGAGUUUUACCAUGGCUUUGUUUUUUUAGAGGGAAGAGGAGUAGGACAUAAAGUUUUGCCCACAAUAAGUGGUCAGGCUUCUUGGGCCUGACUAGAUAUUUACUUGGGUGGAAAGAGAAAAGAGUUCACACUGCUUCUAUUAUCUAGAAAUAAGGUGGAGAUUUAUUUUGUUAAUACUAGUCAUUUUAUUUUAAACUUCCCUUGUAUUUACUUAUUAAAUCCCUGUGUAACAUGCCCUACCAUUAUUGCUGCUCUGAAAUUUUCUUCUUGUUGCUUUAGUUUAUUUUAAUUUUUUUUUAAUGUUUAUUUAUUUUUGAGA
ensembl:lncRNA